AUGAUCCUCCUGUUCUCUUGGAUCUUCGCCACAGGUUUUUUCUUUUAUGCCAAACAAAAUGGUCUCUUCAUUGUUGAAAGGGCUGGUAAAUGCCAAGAGAAUUCUCCUGCUGUAAAUGACAUUUUUGCUCUACCACUUCUUUUCAUCCAACUGAGAGGACCUAGAUAAUCACAUGUGAAAAGACAGUUUCUGCAAGGCUUCUGCUCAGGAGGAUGCCACG
rnacentral:lncRNA from 1 species